GGAACAUCGGAUUACUCAUCUGGUGGCAGGUGGGUGUCGGAGCUGGCUGUGGACCCCACCGUCUGUAGCCAGUCCGCAGCAGCUUUCCUCUCUGGCAAACUCACAGCAAGCAUGCAGGGUGAUAAAACGGCAGUGACAAAUCCAGUGCAAUCAGGUGGGAAAUCCCCCCUGAGUAAUAACACCUCCUCAUCGCUCAUCCCGACCUCUUCCCCUGAGCCCCGCGUCUGCCGCUGAGAACUCAGCGCUGUUUUACCUUCAGCCCUGAGCUCCGCACAGGAAAAAGAAGAGAAAAGUGAGACACGGGAGUCUGGAGGAUCUCAAUCAAUGGUCAGAAAGGAGUACCCAGAAUGUCUACUGAUUGCCUCACUCCACGCAGAAUAUGCAACAUUCAUCCUUUCUCUAUCGCACCCUCCCUGCAUCUCCCAUCAUUCUUGACUCAGAGAAGAAGGCGUCAAGCAUCCUUUCAAGUACCUUCCCCAGGGUUGUCAUCAACUUAACUCCUCUUCAGUUUCCACUGCUACUAGUAAAGUAAUCAUGAUUUACGAAGAAUCCAUGGAAAAAUUUUGCAUCUAUUAAUUAUCUGACUUAAUCUUUACCAGAUCGUUAUUAAGCAAGAAUUACUAUUACCCUGAUUUUCACAGAUGAGGAAAUUGAGGAUAAGGAAAUUUAGGAACCUGCCUAGAGUUACACAACAAGGAAGUUGCAGAGGGGAGGGUUUUUGCCAAGGUUUCUAUGAUUCCAAUGUUAUCACUUUUCUAAUGCAUCUGCUGACCGAGACUGAAGAAUCAACUACCUCCUCCAGAAGGUCAGUUACCCAAGAAAUCUCUGGGACUGAGGAGAACGGGGGAACAGGAGACAGAUCGGAGAGGCUGGGACAUGGAGAUUUGCUUCAUAUGCAAAGAACUCAUCUCCUAGAAUUUUGCAGCAUCUUCCAGAGUCUAAGCUUGUGUUUUGACGUGCCCUUUCCAAGACAAGGGGAUACGUGAAGCUCAGUGAAUCAGGAGCGUUUACGGAGGAGAAAGAAAAUAAGAUCUUCUCCCCAGCUAAAAAUCCAGGCAUUGUCCUUGGCUGGAAAACCUCUCUUGGAUUGUAUGGACAGACUGAAAAUACAUCUUAGCAUCCAAACAUAGACAGCCAGGGCAUGGACUCAGGCUUGAUGCCCAAAGAGAUCCUCAUCAUCAUACCUUAGAAGUACCACAUCCUUUGUUCUUCCUGGCUAAACCCCUUCAGCCAACAUCCCUGCCUGCAGGGUAAGCAAUUUACUUACAGUUAAACUGCUAAUAAGUAGGGAAUCAUGGAUCAAUCAGAAACACUAAAUAUUUCAAAAUAUUUAGGGUCAAUAUUUCAAAAAACAUUGCAACAUUUGUACAUUUACCUGCUACAAGUUUGCAUGGGCAGGAACCAUAUCAAGUCCAUUAAAAUUCCUGAUUUCCUUAUGUCUAGCAAAAUCUUUGAUCACUAGUUAUGUAUAUUUCAGUUAAUAAAAAUGAAGAGCAUGAGUACUCUUCCAUAAGAAAUGCAGCGUGUUGGGAUAUACAGAAUUUUGCAAAACAGAGUAGAAUGGGGAUGGUUAUCAUAACACAGUGGGCCCAUCAGUGUAGUGGAGUUCAACAUUUUUGAUUCCUUCCAAAUUUCCAGAUUUCAUCUUUGAUGUUGGGAAUGUAAAGACUGAUAUAGCACAAUCAUGGUCCUCCAGAAAUGUAUCAGAUUGUUGGGGAAACAAAUAGAUGCAGAAAUAGUUAUCUGCGUGAUACAGCAAAUACAAACAUGUGCAAGAUGCUCCAAGGAUGUAGAAAGAGAAGCCCUGGUUGGGCUUGUGUGGAGGAGAUGUGGGAAAGGGGGCUUUCUCAAGGAAGCGAUGUCUGAACUCAGACGUGAAGGAACAGCAGAGCUUACCCUCCCCACAGGAGGUUGUACUGUACAGCAUGAGCAAAGAAAGGAGGAAGGUGUAAAGACAUUACCUUUGGUGCAAAGAUUGGCAUAGCUGUCCCACAACCUAUUUGAAUUAACAUUUGUCAAUGAGACACCAACAUCAAAUGCUAUCACUGACAUGUGGAAUCUAAAAAAAGGACACAAUGAACUUCUUUGCAGAACAGAUUCUGACUCACAGACUUUGAAAAACUUACGGUUUCCAAAUGAGACAGGUUAGCGGGUGGGGGGAUGCACUGAGGGUUUGGGAUGGAAAUGCUGUAAAAUUUGGUUGUGAUGAUUGUUGUACACCUAUAAAUGUAAUAAAAUUCAUUAAGUAAUAAAAAAGGAAAAAAAACUUUACAAUGAUAUAUAAAAAAUAAUAAUGUUUAUCAUGGUAGGUCUCCAUGCAUUAAGAAUUUACUGAGAGGCUAUUCUAUGCCAAGCCUAACAGUGGGCACCCAGGGUGGAUAGCUCAAAUGUCAUGUCUCCAAAAAUCCACAUUUCAGGAGAGAAAACGAUGCAACACUGUGCAAUGAGCUUGAAAGACCUCACCCAUAAUACAUGCUGGACCAGGAGCUUUAUUUGGUAGAAAUGCUUUGAAAAUAUUUUUUUUUGUUUUUAUCUUGCCACUGGAUGUGUC
rnacentral:lncRNA from 1 species